GGGUGCGAUCAUACCAGCACUAAUGCACCGGAUCCCAUCAGAACAUCAAAGUUAAACGUGCUUGGGCGAGAGUAGUACUAAGAUGGGUGACCUCUUGGGAAGUCCUCGUGUUGCACCCC
rnacentral:rRNA from 1 species